rnacentral:rRNA from 1 species
UGCAAGUCGAACGGCAGCACGGACUUCGGUCUGGUGGCGAGUGGCGAACGGGUGAGUAACAUAUCGGAACGUAUCCAAUAAUGGGGGAUAACUAAUCGAAAGGUUGGCUAAUACCGCAUACGCCCUACGGGGGAAAGCAGGGGAUCUUCGGACCUUGCGUUAAUGGAGCGGCCGAUAUCUGAUUAGCUAGUUGGUGAGGUAAAAGCUCACCAAGGCGACGAUCAGUAGCUGGUCUGAGAGGACGACCAGCCACACUGGAACUGAGACACGGUCCAGACUCCUACGGGAGGCAGCAGUGGGGAAUUUUGGACAAUGGGCGCAAGCCUGAUCCAGCCAUUCCGCGUGAGUGAAGAAGGCCUUCGGGUUGUAAAGCUCUUUCGCAAGGGAAGAAAACUUAUCCUCUAACAUAGGAUGAGGUUGACGGUACCUUGAUAAGAAGCACCGGCUAACUACGUGCCAGCAGCCGCGGUAAUACGUAGGGUGCGAGCGUUAAUCGGAAUUACUGGGCGUAAAGCGUGCGCAGGCGGCUUUAAAAGUCAGAUGUGAAAUCCCCGAGCUCAACUUGGGAACUGCGUUUGAAACUCUAAAGCUAGAAUAUGUCAGAGGGGGGUAGAAUUCCACGUGUAGCAGUGAAAUGCGUAGAGAUGUGGAGGAAUACCAAUGGCGAAGGCAGCCCCCUGGGAUAAUAUUGACGCUCAUGCACGAAAGCGUGGGGAGCAAACAGGAUUAGAUACCCUGGUAGUCCACGCCCUAAACGAUGUCUACUAGUUGUUGGUGGAGUAAAAUCCAUGAGUAACGCAGCUAACGCGUGAAGUAGACCGCCUGGGGAGUACGGUCGCAAGAUUAAAACUCAAAUGAAUUGACGGGGGCCCGCACAAGCGGGUGGAUUAUGUGGAUUAAUUCGAUGCAACGCGAAAAACCUUACCCUGGCCCUUGACAUGUAACGAACUUUCCAGAGAUGGAUUGG